AGCUAUUCCAUUUAUCGAUAUCUCGAUUGAUAAACCAUUCUGAGGCCAGAUCUGAAAGACUCUCACCAAAGAAAGCCAUGAGAAGUUCUUCCUUUCCUCCUGCAGCCCUCAAAUGGUUACAAUAUUGUCUCAAGUGUGCAAUAGGAUCACCGUGUCCUGCAUACUUUUCAAACUUAGGCAUCUUAAAACCGGGGGGAAGAUUGAUGUCUGGGAACAUGUAAAGUUCUUUAUAACAAACACUCCUGUAAUCUUCGAUUCCUUGCAGAUUUCUCAUAGCCUGCUCUAAACUCUUCAGUUUUCGGGCUAUGAUAUCCUGUUCCUCCGUUGUGACAGGUUUCUCCAUAUCAAAUGGAAAUGCAGGCGGUUGAGUGUACCCAUAUGGUUCAUUUAUUUGCAAAGUAAGCUCCGGAGCAUAAUACUGACCAUCUGAAACCUUCAGUACUAGC
rnacentral:lncRNA from 1 species